UGGGGAAUAUUGCACAAUGGGCGCAAGCCUGAUGCAGCCAUGCCGCGUGUAUGAAGAAGGCCUUUGGGUUGUAAAGUACUUUCAGCGGGGAGGAAAGGAGUAAAGUUAAUACCUUUGCUCAUUGACGUUACCCGCAGAAGAAGCACCGGCUAACUCCGUGCCAGCAGCCGCGGUAACACGGAGGGUGCAAGCGUUAAUUGGAAUUACUGGGCGUAAAGCGCACGCAGGCGGUUGGUUAAGUCAGAUGUGAAAUCCCCGGGCUCAACCUGGGAACUGCAUCUGAUGAUGGCAAGCUUGAGUCUCGUAGAGGGGGGUAGAAUUCCAGGUGUGGCGGUGAAAUGCGUAGAGAUCUGGAGGAAUACCGGUGGCGAAGGCGGCCCCCUUGACAAAGACUGACGCUCAGGUGCGAAAGCGUGGGGAGCAAACAGG
rnacentral:rRNA from 1 species